UACGGGGGGGGGCAAGCGUUGUUCGGAAUUACUGGGCGUAAAGGGCUCGUAGGCGGCCAACUAAGUCGGAUGUGAAAUCCCCAGGCUCAACUUGGGAACUGCAUCCGAUACUGGAUGGCUUGAAUUCGGGAGAGGGAUGCAGAAUUCCAGGUGUAGCGGUGAAAUGCGUAGAUAUCUGGAGGAAUACCGGUGGCGAAGGCGGCAUCCUGGACCGGUAUUGACGCUGAGGCGCGAAAGCCAGGGGAGCAAACGGG
rnacentral:rRNA from 1 species